GGGAGGACGAGGGGCGCGUGGUUUUCCCAUCUCAUCCCUGGAGGAGGGGCUGGAGCAUCCCCGGCAGCCAAUCAGGGACAGGCUGGGGGGGGACCGCUUUGAAGAAGUUUGGGGGAAAAAAGUUUGGAAAAGUUUCUAUAAUAACGAGGGGGCUUCUGGAGGGAGGCGGCAGCGACGGAGGAGGGGGCUUCUCAGAGAAAGGGAGGGAGGGAGCCACCCGGGUGAAGAUACAGCAGCCUCCUGAGCUCCCCCCUCCCACCCAGGCCGGGACCUGGGGGCUCCUGCCGGAUCCAUGGGGGCAGCCAGCUGCGAGGAUGAGGAGCUGGAAUUUAAGCUGGUGUUCGGGGAGGAAAAGGAGGCCCCCCCGCUGGGCGCGGGGGGAUUGGGGGAAGAACUGGACUCAGAGGAUGCCCCGCCAUGCUGCCGUCUGGCCUUGGGAGAGCCCCCUCCCUAUGGCGCUGCACCUAUCGGUAUUCCCCGACCUCCACCCCCUCGGCCUGGCAUGCAUUCGCCACCGCCGCGCCCAGCCCCCUCACCUGGCACCUGGGAGAGCCAGCCCGCCAGGUCGGUGAGGCUGGGAGGACCAGGAGGGGGUGCUGGGGGUGCUGGGGGUGGCCGUGUUCUCGAGUGUCCCAGCAUCCGCAUCACCUCCAUCUCUCCCACGCCGGAGCCGCCAGCAGCGCUGGAGGACAACCCUGAUGCCUGGGGGGACGGCUCUCCUAGAGAUUACCCCCCACCAGAAGGCUUUGGGGGCUACAGAGAAGCAGGGGGCCAGGGUGGGGGGGCCUUCUUCAGCCCAAGCCCUGGCAGCAGCAGCCUGUCCUCGUGGAGCUUCUUCUCCGAUGCCUCUGACGAGGCAGCCCUGUAUGCAGCCUGCGACGAGGUGGAGUCUGAGCUAAAUGAGGCGGCCUCCCGCUUUGGCCUGGGCUCCCCGCUGCCCUCGCCCCGGGCCUCCCCUCGGCCAUGGACCCCCGAAGAUCCCUGGAGCCUGUAUGGUCCAAGCCCCGGAGGCCGAGGGCCAGAGGAUAGCUGGCUACUCCUCAGUGCUCCUGGGCCCACCCCAGCCUCCCCGCGGCCUGCCUCUCCAUGUGGCAAGCGGCGCUAUUCCAGCUCGGGAACCCCAUCUUCAGCCUCCCCAGCUCUGUCCCGCCGUGGCAGCCUGGGGGAAGAGGGGUCUGAGCCACCUCCACCACCCCCAUUGCCUCUGGCCCGGGACCCGAGCUCCCCUGGUCCCUUUGACUAUGUGGGGGCCCCACCAGCUGAGAGCAUCCCUCAGAAGACACGGCGGACUUCCAGCGAGCAGGCAGUGGCUCUGCCUCGGUCUGAGGAGCCUGCCUCAUGCAAUGGGAAGCUGCCCUUGGGAGCAGAGGAGUCUGUGGCUCCUCCAGGAGGUUCCCGGAAGGAGGUGGCUGGCAUGGACUACCUGGCAGUGCCCUCCCCACUCGCUUGGUCCAAGGCCCGGAUUGGGGGACACAGCCCUAUCUUCAGGUCUAGGGAUUGAGAUGGGCUUGAGAAUCCUCUGUAUCCAAGUGAAGCCUUUCCACCCCAACCCCUGCGCUCAGAGCUGGGAAGAAGGGAGUUUUAGGCUUGUUGUCAUCUUUCACACCUCAAGGGGCUCUGUCCCCUACUUCCCCUUGCUUCUGGACUUUUGGAUUUCUUCAUUUCUUUGUCCUUUUUUUAGUUAAAAAAAAAUUCUUUUUUCCCUUCUUUUCACAAGUGUUGAUGUACUUCUUUAUUUCUUCUGUGCUUUCCUUUCUCUCAGACCUGUACCCCCUCCUCCCUCACAGAUCCAGUACGGGCCUGACUGGGGUCUGAGGCUGCACAUGAUCAAUGCUCUUCUCUCCCACCCAGGACCUCUGCCCUACCCCCACUGGACUGGCCUCUGCCCAGCCAAUAUGAGCAGCUGGAACUGAGGAUCGAGGUACAGCCUAGAGCCCACCACCGGGCCCACUAUGAGACAGAAGGCAGCCGUGGAGCUGUCAAAGCUGCCCCUGGCGGUCACCCCGUAGUCAAGCUCCUAGGCUACAGUGAGAAGCCACUGACCCUACAGAUGUUCAUCGGCACUGCAGAUGAAAGGAACCUGCGGCCUCAUGCCUUCUAUCAGGUGCACCGUAUCACAGGCAAGAUGGUGGCCACGGCCAGCUAUGAAGCUGUAGUCAGUGGCACCAAGGUGUUGGAGAUGACUCUGCUGCCUGAGAACAACAUGGCGGCCAACAUUGACUGCGCGGGAAUCCUGAAGCUUCGGAAUUCAGACAUUGAGCUUCGGAAGGGUGAGACGGACAUCGGGCGCAAAAACACACGUGUACGGCUGGUGUUCCGGGUACACGUGCCCCAGGGCGGCGGGAAGGUCGUCUCAGUACAGGCAGCAUCGGUGCCCAUCGAGUGCUCCCAGCGCUCAGCCCAGGAGCUGCCCCAGGUGGAGGCCUACAGCCCCAGUGCCUGCUCUGUGAGAGGAGGCGAGGAACUGGUACUGACUGGCUCCAACUUCCUGCCAGACUCUAAGGUGGUGUUCAUUGAGAGGGGUCCUGAUGGGAAGCUGCAAUGGGAGGAGGAGGCCACGGUGAACCGACUGCAGAGCAACGAGGUGACGCUGACCCUGACUGUCCCCGAGUACAGCAACAAGAGGGUUUCCCGGCCAGUCCAGGUCUACUUUUAUGUCUCCAAUGGGCGGAGGAAACGCAGUCCUACCCAGAGUUUCAAGUUUCUGCCUGUGAUCUGCAAAGAGGAGCCCCUACCGGACUCAUCUCUGCGGGGCUUCCCUUCAGCAUCGGCACCCCCAUUUGGCACUGACAUGGACUUCUCACCACCCAGGCCCCCCUACCCCUCCUAUCCCCAUGAAGACCCUGCUUGCGAAACUCCUUACCUAUCAGAAGGCUUCGGCUAUGGCAUGCCCCCUCUGUACCCCCAGACGGGGCCCCCACCAUCCUACAGACCGGGCCUGCGGAUGUUCCCUGAGACUAGGGGUACCACAGGUUGUGCCCAACCACCUCCAGUCUCCUUCCUUCCCCGCCCCUUCCCUAGUGACCCAUAUGGAGGGCGGGGCUCCUCUUUUCCCCUGGGGCUGCCAUUCUCUCCGCCAGCCCCCUUUCGGCCUCCUCUUCCUGCAUCCCCACCGCUUGAAGGCCCCUUCCCUUCCCAGAGUGAUGUGCAUCCCCUACCUGCUGAGGGAUACAAUAAGGUAGGGCCAGGCUAUGGCCCUGGGGAGGGGGCUCCGGAGCAGGAGAAAUCCAGGGGUGGCUACAGCAGCGGCUUCCGAGACAGUGUCCCUAUCCAGGGUAUCACGCUGGAGGAAGUGAGUGAGAUCAUUGGCCGAGACCUGAGUGGCUUCCCUGCACCUCCUGGAGAAGAGCCUCCUGCCUGAACCACGUGAACU
rnacentral:sRNA from 1 species